rnacentral:rRNA from 1 species
UACGGAGGGAGCUAGCGUUAUUCGGAAUUACUGGGCGUAAAGGGCUCGUAGGCGGCCAACUAAGUCGGACGUGAAAUCCCUCGGCUUAACCGGGGAACUGCGUCCGAUACUGGAUGGCUUGAGUUCGGGAGAGGGAUGCGGAAUUCCAGGUGUAGCGGUGAAAUGCGUAGAUAUCUGGAGGAACACCGGUGGCGAAGGCGGCAUCCUGGACCGAUACUGACGCUGAGGAGCGAAAGCCAGGGGAGCAAACGGGG